UACGGAGGGGGCUAGCGUUGUUCGGAAUUACUGGGCGUAAAGCGCACGUAGGCGGCUUUGUAAGUUAGAGGUGAAAGCCCGGGGCUCAACCCCGGAAUAGCCUUUAAGACUGCAUCGCUUGAACGUCGGAGAGGUGAGUGGAAUUCCGAGUGUAGAGGUGAAAUUCGUAGAUAUUCGGAAGAACACCAGCGGCGAAGGCGGCUCACUGGACGACUGUUGACGCUGAGGUGCGAAAGCGUGGGGAGCAAACAGG
rnacentral:rRNA from 1 species